UACGUAGGCAGCAAGCGUUGUUCGGAGUUACUGGGCGUAAAGGGUGCGUAGGCGGGUCUUUAAGUCAGGGGUGGAAUCCUGGAGCUCAACUCCAGAACUGCCUUUGAUACUGAAGAUCUUGAGUUCGGGAGAGGUGAGUGGAACUGCGAGUGUAGAGGUGAAAUUCGUAGAUAUUCGCAAGAACACCAGUGGCGAAGGCGGCUCACUGGCCCGAUACUGACGCUGAGGCACGAAAGCGUGGGGAGCAAACAGG
rnacentral:rRNA from 1 species